GUGGGGAAUCUUGCGCAAUGGGCGAAAGCCUGACGCAGCCAUGCCGCGUGAAUGAUGAAGGUCUUAGGAUUGUAAAAUUCUUUCACCGGGGACGAUAAUGACGGUACCCGGAGAAGAAGCCCCGGCUAACUUCGUGCCAGCAGCCGCGGUAAUACGAAGGGGGCUAGCGUUGCUCGGAAUUACUGGGCGUAAAGGGCGCGUAGGCGGACAGUUUAGUCAGAGGUGCAAGCCCAGGGCUCAACCUUGGAAUUGCCUUUGAUACUGGCUGUCUUGAGUACGGGAGAGGUGAGUGGAACUCCGAGUGUAGAGGUGAAAUUCAUAGAUAUUCGGAAGAACACCAGUGGCGAAGGCGACUCACUGGCCCGUUACUGACGCUGAGGCGCGAAAGCGUGGGGAGCAAACAGGAUUAGAAACCCGGGUAGUCC
rnacentral:rRNA from 1 species